GUUGCUUUUGCUAUCUUCUGCUACCAUGAACUGUUGCCCCUGUGCCAUGCCACUCUGCCUUAGAGCCAGCUGAUUAUGCACUGGAACCUUCACAAACUGUACUAAUAUUCUCAUUUCAUGGAUCAAGACACAGAGGCAGAGAAGACAGCUGCUCAUCAUCCAUGAAGUGGCAGACCCAGCUUCCCACUCAUGCAACCUGACUCAACAGUCUCUGCCCUUAAACACCUUCACUCCAAAUGUUACAGUCUGCUUUAGAGUCCUAUGGUUGAUACCGGUGAUAGAAGUAUUCUGUCCUUGCCUUUGGCCUAAGUAUUCAUGCACAGAGGAACUGUAUUAUAGGGCCAUUUCUUGAACUAUGCCUACAGUACUUCACAGACUAAAUUCAUUCAACAAAAUGCCUUUGCCCACUGAUUGUGCAGUGCACCCAGAGCCCUGGAGCCUGUGGAUUACAGACUGGAACUUCUAUAAACUGUGAGCAAAAUAAA